rnacentral:rRNA from 1 species
UACGUAGGGUCCAAGCGUUAAUCGGAAUUACUGGGCGUAAAGCGUGCGUAGGCGGUCUCGCAAGUCCGAUGUGAAAUCCCCGGGCUCAACCUGGGAACUGCAUUUGUGACUGCAUCGCUGGAGUGCGGCAGAGGGGGAUGGAAUUCCGCGUGUAGCAGUGAAAUGCGUAGAUAUGCGGAGGAACACCGAUGGCGAAGGCAAUCCCCUGGGCCUGCACUGACGCUCAUGCACGAAAGCGUGGGGAGCAAACAGG